UACGAAGGGGGCUAGCGUUGCUCGGAAUUACUGGGCGUAAAGCGCACGUAGGCGGCUUUCUAAGUCGGGGGUGAAAUCCUGGAGCUCAACUCCAGAACUGCCCUUCGAUACUGGAGCUUGAGUCCGGGGAGAGGUGAGUGGGAACUGCGAGUGUAGAGGUGAAAUUCGUAGAUAUUGCAAGAACACCAAGUGGCGAAGGCGGCUCACUGGCCCGGUAUGACGC
rnacentral:rRNA from 1 species